ensembl:lncRNA novel transcript
UGGGAGAGAUUUCAAACAAUCACACCUGCCUGAGAAGGAGUGGGCUGUCACUAGGAAUUUUUAUUCCCAGUCCGUCAGGAAUUUUGUAGAAGGGCUUCAUGUGCUGGUACCAAUAGGACAGGAAGAUUUUAAUCAGCUUUACUAUCUAUGUUUUUUUAUGGAAACUGUGUGUAUGUAUACAUACAUUUUCCAAAAAGAAAAAUUAAAUGAUUAUAGAGAUUAUGUUUUUCAGACUACUCACGUAUCUGCUUUUCUUACUCCCCACCUCUGCUGAUAAUUCCUAGUUCAUUGGUUUUUCCCCCACACUGGAAUUACCUGGGGAGCUUAAAAAACCCUGAUGCCUGGGUCCCACCCUCAGAGAUGAUUGAACCAGCCUGGCCAGCAUGGCAAAACCCUGUCUCUACUAUGAUAUGAAUGCAGCCUGGGCACUGGGAAAUUUAAAAACUCCCCAGAUAAUUCUGUGCAGCCAAGGUUGAGACCUCCUAGUCUAGAGCUUUGCUAUACACAGGGUGGUCCACAAGCCAGGAGCAUCAGCAUCACUUGGCAGCGCCUUAGAGAUUCAGACCCCAGACCCACUGAAUCUGACCCUGCAUUUUCACUAGACCCCAGGUGAUCAGCUGCACUAGACUCAACCUCUAAACCAAGACCUCCCACCCUCACAGUCUAUGAUCCUUUAGUGACCCUCAGCUGAGUCCUGUGCUGAACUGUGUUUGUUCUCCUUGAGCACAUGCCCGCUAACCAGGGACAGACUGGAUGAGCAAGCAACCUGCUGGCUAUGGAGAAGAGCCAGGCUGGGUGCUCAACCAUGUCUAUUAGAGAAACUGAAUGAGGAGGCAAAGCAUGACAAGUGCCACAAGAGACCUGCACACUGCUCUGGAUGGUAAAGCGACGCAAGGAGGGAAGAAGGACCAUCAGCACGUGCCCAUCGACAUCCAGACCAGCAAGCUGCUCGAUUGGCUGGUGGACAGAAGGCACUGCAGCCUGAAAUGGCAGAGUCUGGUGCUGACGAUCCGCGAGAAGAUCAAUGCUGCCAUCCAGGACAUGCCAGAGAGCGAAGAGAUCGCCCAGCUGCUGUCUGGGUCCUACAUUCACUACUUUCACUGCCUAAGAAUCCUGGACCUUCUCAAAGGCACAGAGGCCUCCACGAAGAAUAUUUUUGGCCGAUACUCUUCACAGCGGAUGAAGGAUUGGCAGGAGAUUAUAGCUCUGUAUGAGAAGGACAACACCUACUUAGUGGAACUCUCUAGCCUCCUGGUUCGGAAUGUCAACUAUGAGAUCCCCUCACUGAAGAAGCAGAUUGCCAAGUGCCAGCAGCUGCAGCAAGAAUACAGCCGCAAGGAGGAGGAGUGCCAGGCAGGGGCUGCCGAGAUGCGGGAGCAGUUCUACCACUCCUGCAAGCAGUAUGGCAUCACGGGCGAAAAUGUCCGAGGAGAACUGCUGGCCCUGGUGAAGGACCUGCCGAGUCAGCUGGCUGAGAUUGGGGCAGCGGCUCAGCAGUCCCUGGGGGAAGCCAUUGACGUGUACCAGGCGUCUGUGGGGUUUGUGUGUGAGAGCCCCACAGAGCAGGUGUUGCCAAUGCUGCGGUUCGUGCAGAAGCGGGGAAACUCAACGGUGUACGAGUGGAGGACAGGGACAGAGCCCUCUGUGGUGGAACGACCCCACCUCGAGGAGCUUCCUGAGCAGGUGGCAGAAGAUGCGAUUGACUGGGGCGACUUUGGGGUAGAGGCAGUGUCUGAGGGGACUGACUCUGGCAUCUCUGCCGAGGCUGCUGGAAUCGACUGGGGCAUCUUCCCGGAAUCAGAUUCAAAGGAUCCUGGAGGUGAUGGGAUAGACUGGGGAGACGAUGCUGUUGCUUUGCAGAUCACAGUGCUGGAAGCAGGAACCCAGGCUCCAGAAGGUGUUGCCAGGGGCCCAGAUGCCCUGACACUGCUUGAAUACACUGAGACCCGGAAUCAGUUCCUUGAUGAGCUCAUGGAGCUUGAGAUCUUCUUAGCCCAGAGAGCAGUGGAGUUGAGUGAGGAGGCAGAUGUCCUGUCUGUGAGCCAGUUCCAGCUGGCUCCAGCCAUCCUGCAGGGCCAGACCAAAGAGAAGAUGGUUACCAUGGUGUCAGUGCUGGAGGAUCUGAUUGGCAAGCUUACCAGUCUUCAGCUGCAACACCUGUUUAUGAUCCUGGCCUCACCAAGGUAUGUGGACCGAGUGACUGAAUUCCUCCAGCAAAAGCUGAAGCAGUCCCAGCUGCUGGCUUUGAAGAAAGAGCUGAUGGUGCAGAAGCAGCAGGAGGCACUUGAGGAGCAGGCGGCUCUGGAGCCUAAGCUGGACCUGCUACUGGAGAAGACCAAGGAGCUGCAGAAGCUGAUUGAAGCUGACAUCUCCAAGAGGUACAGCGGGCGCCCUGUGAACCUGAUGGGAACCUCUCUGUGACACCCUCCGUGUUCUUGCCUGCCCAUCUUCUCCGCUUUUGGGAUGAAGAUGAUAGCCAGGGCUGUUGUUUUGGGGCCCUUCAAGGCAAAAGACCAGGCUGACUGGAAGAUGGAAAGCCACAGGAAGGAAGCGGCACCUGAUGGUGAUCUUGGCACUCUCCAUGUUCUCUACAAGAAGCUGUGGUGAUUGGCCCUGUGGUCUAUCAGGCGAAAACCACAGAUUCUCCUUCUAGUU